UAGAAUAAGGUGUAUUGGUUGCACGGAAAAUUUUGAAUUUUUAGGUAUAGGUUCGAUUCCUAUUAUUCUAG
rnacentral:tRNA from 1 species